CUGCGGAAGGAUCAUUACCGAGUGCGGGUCCUUUGGGCCCAACCUCCCAUCCGUGUCUAUUGUACCCUGUUGCUUCGGCGGGCCCGCCGCUUGUCGGCCGCCGGGGGGGCGCCUCUGCCCCCCGGGCCCGUGCCCGCCGGAGACCCCAACACGAACACUGUCUGAAAGCGUGCAGUCUGAGUUGAUUGAAUGCAAUCAGUUAAAACUUUCAACAAUGGAUCUCUUGGUUCCGGCAUCGAUGAAGAACGCAGCGAAAUGCGAUAACUAAUGUGAAUUGCAGAAUUCAGUGAAUCAUCGAGUCUUUGAACGCACAUUGCGCCCCCUGGUAUUCCGGGGGGCAUGCCUGUCCGAGCGUCAUUGCUGCCCUCAAGCCCGGCUUGUGUGUUGGGUCGCCGUCCCCCUCUCCGGGGGGACGGGCCCGAAAGGCAGCGGCGGCACCGCGUCCGAUCCUCGAGCGUAUGGGGCUUUGUCACAUGCUCUGUAGGAUUGGCCGGCGCCUGCCGACGUUUUCCAACCAUUCUUUCCAGGUUGACCUCGGAUCAGGUAGGGAUACCCGCUGAACUUAAGCAUAUCAAUAAGCGGAGGAA
rnacentral:rRNA from 1 species